rnacentral:rRNA from 1 species
GAUGAACGCUGGCGGCGUGCUUAACACAUGCAAGUCGAACGGGAAUUCUUUUAUUGUGACUUCGGUCGGUUUCAUUUAAUUCUAGUGGCGGCCGGGUGAUUAACGCCUGGGUAACCUGCCUUAUACAGGGGGAUAACAGUCAGAAAUGGCUGCUAAUACCGCAUCAGCGCACAGAGCUGCAUGGCUCAGUGUGAAAAACUCCGGUGGUAUAAGAUGGACCCGCGUUGGAUUAGCUGGUUGGUGGGGUAACGGCACACCAAGGCGACGAUCCAUAGCCGGCCUGAGAGAGUGAGCGGCCACAUUGGGACUGAGACACGGUCCAGACUCCUACGGGAGGCAGGAGUGGGGAAUAUUGCACAAUGGGGGAAACCCUGAUGCAGCGACGCCGCGUGAAGGAAGAAGUAUCUCGGUAUGUAAACUUCUAUCAGCAGGGAAGAUAGUGACGGUACCUGACUAAGAAGCCCCGGCUAACUACGUG